AUGCGCGGAUCCACGGGAAGGGGUCGUCGUGGGUGGGGAUGGCGGGAUGGCGUCGGCGCAGCGGACGGUGGUUCGUUGGGAGGAAGAAGGCAGAGGCAGGGCGAAGCACGUGUGAAGUUUGCUGAUGUAUUUUGUGUUUGGGCACAACCGCGCGUGAUGCAGAUCUCAUCUAACACACAGAACUCAUCUGGGAGGCGCCAUGGGAGAGGGGAGAGAGAAGAAGAAAGAGCAGACGCCAUGGGAGAGAGGGAGAGAGAAGAGCAAAGAACAGAGAGGCAUGUCAAAAGGACAAGUGCCCAGAGAUAA
rnacentral:rRNA from 1 species